UUCGUCCGUGCGCAGGCGCAGUGGUGGGCGGAGGCCGCGGGCUUUCGAAAGUAGCUCGGUCGGCGCAGCCGGGUCGGGAAAGGCGCCGACGGAGGCGCGCAGAUGUGAGUUUUGUGGAUGGCAAACAUGGAUCAAAUCAGUGUCAAUCUCUGGGUGAAAAUGGAACCUUUUAUAGUGGGAGCCUUACAAAUCCCACCUCCCUCCAAGUUUAGCAUGCAUUAUCUUCGGAAGAUGUCAACUUAUGUCCGGAUGCGCUCCAGUGAAGGCUAUUAUCCACACCUUUCUUGGCCUAUGUGGCGACACAUUGCCUGUGGGAAGCUGCAGAUAGAAAAGGACUUGGCUUGGCUAUACUUUGAAUUAUUUGACAGUCUUGUUGAACGGACUUCAGAGGAGCGACUGGAAUGGGCAGAGGUGAUAUCCAGCUGUGCAACUGAGGAGGAGGCAGAGAAGCAGAAGAAUAAGUUGUCUGUGGACACUCUACAGUUCCUGCUGUUCCUUUAUAUUCAACAACUAAACAAGGUUUCCCUGAGAACAUAUCUACUUGGAGAUGAGUGGCCGAGUCCUAGAUCCAAGAAUUACAGUCUGACUGGAGAAUCCACCAAUCAGAUUAAGAACUGGAAUGACAGCUAUCAGCAAGACUUUAUCCAGAACCAUCUCCAGGAUCUUCUCGAACUGUUGCUGGACCCGGAUCAGCUCACUGCCUCCUCACAUUCUACCCACAAUAGCCUGAUGUCACCUGAGGCUGUUCGCGCUCUUGGCUUUCUUAUUGAAGGAUGUGUGAACAGAAACAGUACCGUCCACCCUCUGCAUGCGCUUGCACUCUGGCAGCCAUUACAUGCAAAGAGUGGCUACUCAAAGAUCUCCAAAGCCUUCUCCUUCCCCAGGCUUGAGUCCUGGCUGAGGGCUUGUCUGACCGGGAACCCGUUUGGAACAUCAGCUUGUCUCAAGUCUGGGAAGAAACUUGCAUGGGCACAACAAGUUGAAGGAACAACCAAGCGAGCUAAGAUAGCCUGCAAUACUCAUAUGGUCCCUUCAGCACACCGCAUCGUUGUGAUGAGCCAAGUUUACAAGCAAACACUGGCAAAAAGUUCAGGUACCCUAGAAGAUACGCACGUGAAGAUUCAUCGCUGCUGUGAAUCCUUCAUCUAUUUGCUUUCUCCCCUGAGAUCUGUGACCAUAGAGAAGUGCAGGAAUAGUACCUUUGUACUUGGCCCAGUGCAAACAGUAGUUCACCUCCACAGCUGUGACAAUGUCACACUUAUUGCUGUUUGCUGCCGUCUGUCUCUGUCAUCAACCACCAGUUGUACCUUGCAUGUUCUCACCCCAACUAGACCACUCAUCUUACUGGGGAACCUAGCAAUAACUUUUGCCCCCUUCCAUACGCAUUAUCCAAAGCUUGAGGACCACAUGGGCAGGACUGGCCUGGCUACCGUGCCUAACUAUUGGGAUAACCCAAUGUUAGUAUGUAAAGAGAACUGUGAUCGAAAUGUCUUCAGACUCCUCCCACCGUCAGAGUUUUACCCCUUUGUUGUCCCAUUUGAAAUGGAAGGAGACACCACAGAAAUACCUGGUGGGCUGCCACCUGCGUACCAAAAGGCACUGAGUCAACGAGAACAGAGAAUUCAUAUCUGGCAGAAGACCGUGAAGGAGGCGGGGCUGACCAAGGACCAGAGAAAGACGUUCCAGGUGUAUGUGGAGAACAAGUUCAACGAAUGGCUCGUUCAGACAGGCAGUCGCCAACAACUUGACAGCCUGGUGCUUCCUGCUGCAGGUUCUAAGCAGGCAGCAGGAUAGGAGAGCUUUUGAAGUACACAGUUAUUUGAAAAAACAUCAAAGCGGUUUAGUUUGAACUGAAGAGGCAGUCAGAGGCUUUGCUGGUUUGGUGCAGUGCGAAAACUCAGCAAGGAUGCAUUGUCCAUUUCCAUGAGGGAGAAGUUCUAGAGAUGAACUUUGCAACACUGAAAGUGUUUUUACUGCAAUAGACUGGAGCCAAGCUGAUUAAAACUCUUAUGGCAUUGCUAAUGAAUUUGGAAACUUGAAUUUGCUUUGUUUAUUGUCAAGGCGAGGAUCGACUUUUUCUCCCUGUUACAGCUGUCAUAGUAUCUCUCUUCGUUCUACACCUUUCUCAGACAGCCAGUAUCUAUAGAAAACAAGCCAAGACUUUGCUGUUAACACUUCUAUCUAUGGCUGAAAUGAAAUUUAUGUAUAAAGGUACCCUGAAAAGGACUUUUACUUUCCUGGUGUGAAGAUAGGAAUAAGGUUCUGGCUGCUGAAUGAACUUUUUCACUUCUAUUAACUAAAUUUGUAUUGUAUAAAACUCACAGAUGUAUUUUUAUACCAGUUGUUUAACACUUCAACUAUGAAAUUUGAUUAAAUUCACGUGAUUUCUUUUG